AAGUCGUAACAAGGUCUCCGUUGGUGAACCAGCGGAGGGAUCAUUACCGAGUUUUCAACUCCCAACCCAUGUGAACAUACCUCUGUUGCUUCGGCGGACCGCCCCCCCGGUGCCCUUUGGGGCGCUGGAGCCAGGCGCCCGCCGGGGACCCUAUACUCUUGUAUUUUUUCUUUUUUCAGAACCCGCGUACGCGCAACAAACAUCAAAACUUUCAACAAUGGAUCUCUUGGCUCUA
rnacentral:misc_RNA from 1 species